GGGGAUGUAGCUCAGUUGGCUAGAGCGCUUGACUGGCAGUCAAAUUAUCAUACUCAAUUCAACUUCUCUU
rnacentral:tRNA from 1 species